UAUAUUCCCUCUGACGUCAUUUUCCCGAAAUCGCCAUCUUGGUCAGUUAUUCCGAGAAAGGGCUGAGAAGAUUUGCUAUCAAUUACGAAGUCCCAGCUAUUACGUUGAUAUUUUGGUUGCAAUCUAUUCCAUCUUGGUGUAUUGUCUUCAUACUUGGCCACAACAACCCUUCAAAUAGACCAGACUAAACUUGACCUCCAUAUAAACAUUCAAGAUGGUCGGCCUACAUGUCAGAUUUGUGAAUGUGAACGGCAGGAUAUCGAGUUUAAGGAUGCUUUAGGGUCAAUGAGAAUGAAAUCAAGAGAGAUAAAGGCUAAAAUGUGAGACUGUCGAUCUGACAAACCUUGCAGUGAAUAAAUGGAAACAGUGGCGUUUGUAUGAUAGAACAGUAAUAGCAGGAGUGAUAAGGACAGAUGCAUGUAGAUGUGUCUUCAUGUCGGAAACACUACUAGAGAAAUUGAAAUAUUUGGGUUUUUCAAAACUUAAAAGAAAUUGGAAUACCAGGAGACUGCUUGCCCUUUGCAAUGUUGGAUGAUGUGAUGUCGAAAGCCUCAUGAAUAUAGUAACUUGACUUAAUCUAAUUAGAAAAAGAAAUGACAUUGAGGAGAAAACUAGUCACCAGUCUUUCACCAAGAACAUGAGAUAACUUUCCAAUAUUUGAAAUAUCAUAAUAUGUAUAGAACUUUAAUGAGCGAACAGUUUUUCACCAGGAAAAUAAGAUCACUUAUCUAUUUUUGAAAUAUGUAUGAACAGAACUCUAUCAACUUCAAGGUGAGAGUUUAUCACAAAGAACAUGAGAUAACCUAUGUAUGAACAGAACCACAUUUGUAUAUAGAGGCGCCAGUUCAUCACCAAGAAGAUGAGCUAACUUAUCAAUGUUUGAAAUCUGUUAUACCCCCGCACAACAAAGUUGUAAGGGGGGUAUACUGGAAUCAGCUUGUCCGGCCGUCGGGAGUUUGUCAGUUUUUUCUUGUCCGUCCAAUAAUUUAAGAUUCCUUUGACCCACAGUCUUCAUAUUUGGCAUGGAGGUAAGUCAUGAUUAGUAGAUGACCUCUUUUAAUUUUGAGAACACCAAGUCAAAGGUCAAGGUCACAGGGUCUUGACUGAAGAAAGCUUUUCUGCCCAAUAACUUAAGAAUCCUUCGACCCACAGUCUUCAUUUUUGGCAUGGAGGUUAGUCAUGAUUAGUAGAUGACCCCUAUUUAUUUUCAGGUCACCAGGUCUAAGGUCAUGGUCACAGGGGCCUUGGCUAAUUAAAGCUUGUCCUCCCAAUUACCUAAGAAUCCUUUGACCCGUAGUCUUCAUAUUUGGCAUGGAGGUUAGUCAAGAUUAGUGGAAUACCUCUAUUGAUUUUGAGGUCACUGGGGCAAGGUCAAGGUCACAGGGGCUUUUAUUACAAUUAGCUUGUCUGCUCAAAUGGUCUUAUAUAUUCAUCAUAAAACACCUCCAGGCAAGGCUGCAUGAAAUGGGGGGGUGUUAUUGAAGUCAUUCAAUGGCAGUUUCAGUUUUGAGGUCAGUAGGUCAAAGGUAAAGUUCACUUUGAUCUUUUCCACUAAAACAUGUAGAAUACAUAACUUAGCAAUGCACUGGCUUACUUCCCUCAGAUUUGGCUGGGAGGUUGUCUGAGCUGUAAAUGACUACUGGUGUGAUUCUGACAAAUUGGUAUGUGGGGGUAUUCACGCCAUGACAAUGGCAGUUCUAGUUUGUACAGAAAAUAUCAAGGUGCAAGUUUCUUUUAUUAAGAAUAGACUUAUUGAUUAGAUAACUUACAAUAUUUACAAACAUUUAUAAUACCAUACCCAUUUAAAGUAUUUCAGCUGAGAGUGUAUUAUCCAAAAUACAUGUAUUGUUAUAAUGUACUUUAUAGUAUAUUUAUUGUAAAGUUUUGAUUCUACUAGAUUUUAAAAACAUUUAGAUUUUA